rnacentral:lncRNA from 1 species
UGCAUUCAUGGUACAGCACAUGAAUCCUCGCUCAAUAAAUUAUCAUAUUACUGGUUUUUGAGCCAUACUUUUUUGCUUUUCAUCGCCUAUAUAUCCAGUAUAAGACUCCCCCUUUUUCACUUGUAUAAACACUAGAAAAUUCAGUUAAGAAUAAUUCUGAUAUGGAGAGGAAAGCAUUUGGCAUUUUCUUUCUGCUUCUCAUUGUCUUGGUUUCACGUAAGUUCUCUGGGCUUAUAGCUUCAUUUGAUCUUAUUAUUUAGUUCUAGUUUGCAACAUUUGUUCAAAUUUUUUACUUCCCACUUGAUAUCAGAAUCGCCCCAUCUCAACCGGGAUUGCGAGUAGACGUAUCAUUUUAUGCAUGGUCUUUCACCAAAACAUGAAAAAAUGUGAACGUUUUGAAAAUUAGAGUUCUUUUCAAACUCCAGAAAUCAUUUUUGGAAACUCAAAAAAUAGUUUUGAUUGGUGGAAAAGCCAAUAUAUUCUGGGUUAGAAAUUGAUUUGUACAUAAAUUUAGAUUAAUAAACAAACCACUAAAAUUUUUACAAAGUCAAUGUGCAUGCGAAUACUACUUCAAUGUAUACUGCUUGGCUAAAAUGUAAUCAAAGUUGAAGGAUGCAACUAAAAUUAUUUAAAGAGACCUAUUAAUAAGAGAACUCUUUGAAGAAAGUAUAGUUCUAACGAAAGUAUUGCUAAUAACUCUAAAUCUCCAAGAAAAUGAUUUGAGAUUUGGAUUCAAGCGGUUCGUUUGAAAUAUAUAGCGCUAUAUGUAGCCAUACUAUGAAGACUCUAAUCUUAAUCUAUCGUGCUUUGGUCAAUGUGGUUUGGAUUUACUCAAUUAACAUGAUGCAUACUUUUCGUGCGUGUGUUAGACAUGUAUAUAGAUGUAACAUAUUAUUUAUACGUGUUUAAUACACAUGUGACAUGUGCGCAUUUUGAAUUUGAGUAAUACAUUAAUCGAGCAAAAAAUCAUCAUCUGUAGAAAUAUAUAUUCCUACAUAGUUAUGUGAGACCUAGCAUGUUUAACCAUGUUUAAAAGUGUAUUUUUAAGUGCUUUUUGGAUUCUAUUUGUGUAGCAUUAGCGUUCACACUAAUUGGAAAUGCACUUAAAAAGUUGCUUUUAAACACGACCUAACAUGCUCUCAGAUGGCGAUGGUCUUACCCAUUGUUAAAUCAUAAUCAAGUAAUAGUAUACGAUGAUUUGACAUAAUAGAUUAAUAACUCACAUAUAGGAAAGAUGCCUAACAUUAUCUAGCAAAAGGAUAAUGAGAACAAUUUUAUGCAAUGAUUUGGGGUUCAAGCACUCAACUAAUAACAUGUUUGACUAAGUUCAAAAGCUACUUAAAAGAACUUAGCUAAUCAAGUUAGUAAUCUACAGCUCUAUGCCAUUUUUUUUUUUUUGAUAUGUAUUUAAUUUUGCUAUUUUAUAAUAGAUUUGAAUAAUAGAUGUUUACAUUUCGUGCGUGUAUCAAAUACGUGUGUGUAAUUAUACAUAUACACGUGUCUGAUACACGUACGUGAUAUGAACAUCUUUUGAUUCAAAUGCACAUCUAUCGUACAUGUUUUGCUAGCUAGGCAGCUUAUUCAGUAAUUUUCAUAUGCUCUUCUAGUACGUAAUUUUGUCGUAUAUUUUUAUUUGUAAAUUUUUUUUUCUUGUUUUGUUUUGACCAAUACAGAAGUGACAAUGCCCGGAGCAGAAGCAAGAGUUUGCGAAUCAAGGAGCCAUGGAUUUAGGGGCCCUUGCCUUGGCGACCACAACUGCGCGCUGGUUUGCCGAAAUGAAGGUUUCUCCGGUGGAAAAUGCCACGGUUUCCACCGUCGAUGCUUCUGUACUAAACUUUGUUAAGUACAAUGUAUGCACUUUAAAACUUCAUCAUGGUUUUGACACUUGGAAUUUUGGUGGAAUUUGAUGAAAAUAAUUAGUUUGUUCUUCUAUGUACUCAAUAUUUCCUUGUCCAGGACUGACUGAGUAUUUGUUGUCGUUUUUGCUUAAUUGCUGAGUGGGAAGUAGUACGUCAAGACCAUUUACUUAUGAUGGAUAUUUUGUUGAAUUUUGAUACUUGUACAUCAGGGUUAACACACCGGUGUACUGACUUCUCACAACAAGUGGGGGCCCACGACGAAUAAAAAAAUCAUAGGCUCCCCUGUUGUGAGGGAGUCGGUACAAUCCCGGUAUACGAGUAAUAAGAUUUUAUUUUGUUACUAGUGAGCUGGGCUAGUUGAAAGCGGGUUAACUAAAUCAAUGCUCACUGAAUUUUACUCUAUGUUAUUAUUUGUUCACUGAACAAAAAAGAAGUUACCAUUACUAAUUCAUAUAUUCAAACGUUU